GCCCGUUUAGCAUAGUCGUUAUUGCGCGGCACUUGUAUCAUCUUGAUUCAUGCCGAGGUCGCUAGUUCAAAUCUGGCAACGGGCC
rnacentral:tRNA from 1 species